AGGACGAACGCUGGCGGCGUGCUUAACACAUGCAAGUGGAGCGACGAACCGGGGCUUGCCCCGGGGCAGAGCCGCGAACGGGUGAGUAACACGUGGGUCACCUGCCUCAAUGACCGGGACAACCCGAGGAAACUCGGGCUAAUACCGGAUGUGCCCGCAAGGGGAAAGGAAGCUUCGGCCUCCGCAUUGAGAUGGGCCCGCGGCCCAUUAGCUUGUUGGUGAGGUAACGGCUCACCAAGGCUUCGAUGGGUAGCUGGUCUGAGAGGACGAUCAGCCACACUGGGACUGAGACACGGCCCAGACUCCUACGGGAGGCAGCAGUGGGGAAUCUUGCGCAAUGCGCGAAAGCGUGACGCAGCAACGCCGCGUGGGGGAAGAAGGCUUUCGGGUUGUAAACCCCUUUCAGUUGGGACGAAGCUUCUCCGGUGAAUAGCCGGAUGGAGUGACGGUACCUUCACAAGAAGCACCGGCUAACUACGUGCCAGCAGCCGCGGU
rnacentral:rRNA from 1 species